CCGUCUAUUUUUACUAUUCCGUCUUUUAAAAUAUGAGUAUACAAAUCUAUCCCAAAUUUUACAUCUACCCUACUUGGUUUUUUAAAGUUAGAGUCUGCCAAAACAUAAUCUUGCCACUUAGUUUUGGCAAUAUUGAAAGACUUUAAUGGUCGUAAUGAUCGCUUACAAUACCCUAUUAGCGAGAGUCAACUAUCGUUAAUUCUGAAACGAAAUCUGAGACCGUUUAUGAGAAAAGAGUUGUUGCAUAUAGAAAACAAUUCGGUUAGCCAGUUGAGAAUUUCGUAGACGUGAAGCUUUUGAGUGAGCAGAAGAAUAACACCGCUAACCUGAAAUCAAACACACAGCAAGAAAUUUUCGAGCUAAAAAGAACUAAAGCCUUAGAAGAGAUACAAUGCUGGAAUUGUCGCAGGUUUGGCCAUAAACACGCAGAUUGCAAUCUGACAAGAUGAUAUUUUGCUUAGGUUGCGGAGCUGAAGAUAUAAUAAGACUAAAUUGUGAAACCUGUCAACAGGUGGCAACAAAAACAGCAGCUACCGCUCAAAUCCUCAACAUUAAAUAAUGAGCAUUUUUCUUCUUACUGUCCGAAAGUCCAGAUAGUUCCUAAAUAUUUAAAUUCUAAAAAUAUUCAAGGUAAAUUAUAUCCAAUA